rnacentral:rRNA from 1 species
AUUGAACGCUGGCGGCAGGCCUAACACAUGCAAGUCGAGCGGAGCGGCGGACGGGUGAGUAAUGCCUAGGAAUCUGCCUGGUAGUGGGGGAUAACGUCCGGAAACGGGCGCUAAUACCGCAUACUAUCAGAUGAGCCUAGGUCGGAUUAGCUAGUUGGUGGGGUAAAGGCCUACCAAGGCGACGAUCCGUAACUGGUCUGAGAGGAUGAUCAGUCAGACUGGAACUGAGAGACGGUCCAGACUCCUCCGGGAGGGAACAGUAGGGAAGCUUCGGCAAUGGACGAAAGCCUGAUCCAGCCAUGCCGCGUGUGUGAAGAAGGUCUUCGGAUUGUAAAGCACUUUAAGUUGGGAGGCGUUACCAUCAAAAUAAGCACCGGCUAACUUCGUGCCAGCAGCCGCGGUAAUUC